CAAAGUUACGGAGAAUGUGAAGAAGCUGUUGAUGAUCAACAGUGUCAAAGGCGGCAGAAAGAUCAAGGAGGAUUAGGAUAGAGUAUUGGCCGCAAGAUUUAGCAGCAAUUAAAUCGUUGGAUACUUUGGUCACAGCAGUUUCGACAGAGUGACCAGCGCGGAAUCCAGACUGAAGGGGGUCAAGCAGAGAGUUGGAUUCAAGAAAGUCUGUCAAUCUGGCGUAGACAACUCUCUCGAGGAUCUUGGAGGCAAAUGGCAGAAGCGAGAUAGGGCGGUAGUUGGAUGGGGAGU